rnacentral:rRNA from 1 species
CCCUUAGAUGUUCUGGGCCGCACGCGUGCUACACUGAUGCAUUCAACGAGUCUAAAACCUGGUCUGAUAGGGCUGGGUAAUCUUUUGAAAGUGCAUCGUGAUUGGGAUAGAUGAUUGCAAUUCUUCAUCUUCAACGAGGAAUGCCUAGUAAACGCAAGUCAUCAGCUUGCAUUGAUUACGUCCCUGCCCUUUGUACACACCGCCCGUCGCUCCUACCGAUUGAAUGAUCCGAUGAAUACCAUGUAUUGAGAGUACGAAUAGGUUCGCUUAUUUCUGCUGCUCGAGAAGUGGAGUAAAUCUUAUCAUUUAGAGGAAGGAGAAGUCGUAACA